rnacentral:rRNA from 1 species
GACGAACGCUGGCGGCGUGCUUAACACAUGCAAGUCGAACGGAAAGGCCCUGCUUUUGUGGGGUUCUCGAGUGGCGAACGGGUGAGUAACACGUGAGUAACCUGCCCUUGACUUUGGGAUAACUUCAGGAAACUGCGGCUAAUACCGGAUAGGAUCUCCUGCUGCAUGGUGGGGGUUGGAAAGUUUCGGCGGUUGGGGAUGGACUCGCGGCUUAUCAGCUUGUUGGUGGGGUAGUGGCUUACCAAGGCUUUGACGGGUAGCCGGCCUGAGAGGGUGACCGGCCACAUUGGGACUGAGAUACGGCCCAGACUCCUACGGGAGGCAGCAGUGGGGAAUAUUGCACCAUGGGCGGAAGCCUGAUGCAGCAACGCCGCGUGCGGGAUGACGGCCUUCGGGUUGUAAACCGCUUUCGCCUGUGACGAAGCGUGAGUGACGGUAAUGGGUAAAGAAGCACCGGCUAACUACGUG